GACGAAGGUGGCAAGCGUUAUUCGGAUUUACUGGGCAUAAAGCGCGCGUAGGCGGCUUGGCAAGUCGGGGGUGAAAGCCCGCAGCUCAACUGCGGAACUGCCUUCGAUACUGCCGGGCUUGAGGGCGGGAGGGGUGAUUGGAACUCCAGGUGUAGCGGUGAAAUGCGUAGAUAUCAGGAGGAACACCGAUGGCGAAGGCAGGUCUCUGGGCUGACACUGACGCUCAUGCACGAAAGCGUGGGGAGCAAACAGG
rnacentral:rRNA from 1 species